rnacentral:rRNA from 1 species
AUGGAACGCUGGCGGCAGGCCUAACACAUGCAAGUCGAACGAGUGGCGGACGGGUGAGUAAUGUCUGGGAAACGGCCCGAUGGAGGGGGAUAACUACUGGAAACGGUAGCUAAUACCGCAUACCAUCGGAUGUGCCCAGAUGGGAUUAGCUUGUAGGUGAGGUAAGGGCUCACCUAGGCGACGUUCCCUAGCUGGUCUGAGAGGAUGACCGGCGAAAAUGGAACUGAGACACGGGCCAGACUCCUGCGGGAGGCAGCAGUGGGGAAUAUUGCACACUGGGCGAAAGCCUGAUGCAGCCAUGCCGCGUGUAUGAAGAAGGCCUUCGGGUUGUAAAAUACUUUCAGCGGGGAGGCGUUACCCGCAGAAGAAGCACCGGCUAACUCCGUGCCAGCAGCCGCGGUAAUAC